GCUGGUGGCAUGCUUUAUACAUGCAAGUCGAGCGAAGACUAGAUUUGUAGUAGAAAUGAUUAAUUUUCACUUUGUGGAGAUUAUGAGUUUUUGCUAUUCCUGGUCUUAGCGGCGAACGGGUGAGUAACGCGUGAAUAAUCUGCCCUUGAAAUCGGGAUACCAUUCCGAAAGGAAUGCUAAUACCGAAUAACGUUAUGAAACAUAGGUUUCAUAACCAAAGUUGAAUCUUCGGAUUCUUCGUUCAAGGAUGAGUUCGCGUCCUAUUAGCUAGUUGGUGAGGUAAAGGCUUACCAAGGCUAUGAUGGGUAGCCGGCCUGAGAGGGCGUACGGCCACAUUGGGACUGAGACACGGCCCAGACUCCUACGGGAGGCAGCAGUAGGGAAUCUUCCGCAAUGGGCGAAAGCCUGACGGAGCGAUGCCACGUGGAUGACGGAGGCCUUCGGGUCGUAAAAUCCUGUCAGGAGGGACGAUGGUCAAUUUUCGGAUUGAUUGACGGUACCUCCAGAGGAAGCUCCGGCCAACUACGUGCCAGCAGCCGCGGUAAUACGUAGGGAGCAAGCGUUGUUCGGAUUUACUGGGCGUAAAGAGUGCGUAGGUGGCUAUACAAGUCAAGGGUGAAAUCUCUACUUUCAAGGUAGAAGCUGCCUUUGAUACUGUAUGGCUAGAGGACAAGAGGGGGAAAUGGAACUCUGGGAGUAGCGGUGAAAUGCGUAGAUAUCCAGAGGAACGCCAGUAGCGAAGGCGGUUUCCUGGCUUGUUUCUGACUCUGAGGCACCAAAGCUAGGGGAGCGAUCGGGAUUAGAGACCCCGGGUAGUCCUAGCCCUAAACGAUGGGUACUAGGUGUGGGGGGAGCAUUACCCUCUGUGCCGAAGCUAACGCGUUAAGUACCCCGCCUGGGGAGUACGGGACGCAGACUGAAACUCAAAAGANUGA
rnacentral:rRNA from 1 species